AUGCACUUAACAAAGGAUGCAUGAAUACAUUUUCUCCAAUUUACAGACUGGUUUGUAUAAUUUAUGAUGUAGCGCUUGUCCGACUUUUUAAACCAAUAAGAUGAGGAAAAAAGGAAAUUCCUUCCUGUUUACUUUACCAAUAGAUGCAGUCAACAUCAGCAACGUUCUACAUUUAACUGUUCCCAAUCGCCUUAUAAUUACAGCCCUCUGGCCAUGUUAUUAUUAGGGAUCUAAACAUAAUUCAACAUGAAAAUCUCUGAAAGGUGAUUUUUCAUGAUCCUAAGCUUAGAGAGCCCCAACACAUCAAUUGGAACCAUAACUUCAAAAUGAUUAUAGAUUCCAUUGAGGACUACGCCAGAGCAUGGGCUA
rnacentral:lncRNA from 1 species